UGGGGAAUUUUGGACAAUGGGCGAAAGCCUGAUCCAGCAAUGCCGCGUGUGUGAAGAAGGCCUUCGGGUUGUAAAGCACUUUUGUCCGGAAAGAAAUCCUUGGCUCUAAUACAGUCGGGGGAUGACGGUACCGGAAGAAUAAGCACCGGCUAACUACGUGCCAGCAGCCGCGGUAAUACGUAGGGUGCAAGCGUUAAUCGGAAUUACUGGGCGUAAAGCGUGCGCAGGCGGUUUGCUAAGACCGAUGUGAAAUCCCCGGGCUCAACCUGGGAACUGCAUUCGUGACUGCAAGGCUAGAGUAUGGCAGAGGGGGGUAGAAUUCCACGUGUAGCAGUGAAAUGCGUAGAGAUGUGGAGGAAUACCGAUGGCGAAGGCAGCCCCCUGGGCCAAUACUGACGCUCAUGCACGAAAGCGUGGGGAGCAAACAGGAUUAGAUACCCUGGUAGUCCACGCCCUAAACGAUGUCAACUAGUUGUUGGGGAUUCAUUUCCUUAGUAACGUAGCUAACGCGUGAAGUUGACCGCCUGGGGAGUACGGUCGCAAGAUUAAAACUCAAAUGAAUUGACGGGGU
rnacentral:rRNA from 1 species